rnacentral:rRNA from 1 species
GUCUGGAUGUUAGAGGGUACUAGGUACCAAUCCACUGUUGAUGAAUGGGCCAGAUUGAUAAAUGCCCCAACAGCUCAUGAGGAUGACUUGGAUGUGUAUGCCAAGAAGAAGAAAGACCACAACUCUAUGGCCAGUAUGUACAAGGAGAUUCCUGAUGAUCCCCUAGAAACACACAAGUUGGGCUCAGUGAAGUUUCUGUUGUCUUGUUUGCCAACUAUCAACACUAUCCUCAGGCACACUAUUUUUCCCAAGUCUGGAGAUCACAGAAUGAUAAGAGGACAUUCCAUCAACUUGUUGCACAUAUUUGAUGUCCCUCAGAAGUUCAAGGUGAUGAGUCUGAUUGUGGAAACAAUCAAGAGGACAACAGCAGAUCAGAAGAGAUCUUGUGGGUAUUAUCCACAUAUUCAGGUGCUCAUCAACUCAAAGAUGGGCACAUGCACUUAUUUGUUGGACAAGGAGCAUUUACCUCUCAAGCCAGAUUUUGAGGAUAACACUGUGGUCAUGGAUGAGAAAGAUCCUUCCUCAGUGCAAGCACAUGAGAAGAGAGAAAAAGCAAAGGCAGAGAAAGCUGCAAAGAUGCCAAGUGCUGAAGAGGCAUCUCAGGUGUUC